UACAAGAUGGUGGAAGCUCAAUGACAAAUUUGCAGAUUUCUAUUGUGCCAGAAAACACAAGUUUGGCAGAUUUAUUAGCAUUGUUACUGUUCAAGGAGAGAACAGAUCAGUUAUUAUAAUACCAGAAUUUGCAUUAAUUAAGGGGUGGGGGUACAUAGCAUUAAAGGUAGAUAGCUCCAUUAAAAAUCAAAAGGAAGUCCCUAGUACAAGUUCAAGCAGAUCUAGAAGAACAGACUCAAAAACCCUUUAUGCCGACACAAUCAGAACCAACAAGUGGCAAUCAAAGGCAACAUCUGAUGCAAAAAUAUGUCAAAGCAGGGGAGACAUGGUAAUAAAUGAUGCUGAUGCAGAAGCUCAAAAAGGUCUACUUGGAAGGUGCAUUGUUGGGACCUUUGCUGCAAGGAUGAAGGAGAUACCCACUCUUGCAGAUAUUAGAAGAUGGGCCACCUUUACAUGAACAAGGCUUUUGGGGUCAACAUUUAUGAGAUGAAUGGAAACUCUUUCCUCUUCGAGUUCCCUAAUAAGCACAUGGCAGAACAAAUUCUUCAUGGAGAGUGGACUUGGAAGCAUCUGAAGUUGUAUCUCCAAUGAUGGUCACCGACAGUGGGAUGUUGUUCGCAACGAAAGAACUCAACUUGGAUUAGAGCUAUGGGCUCCUGUUACAUAUCUGGACAGAAAGUGCAUUCAAAGCUAUUGGUGAACAAUGUGGUGGAUGGCUAGAAACUGAAGAAGAAACCUCCCUAUAGAAUCAACUGAAGUGGGCAAGGGUGAGAGUCAAAGGUGAUGGGGAAAACAUACCGAAAGAUGUCAAGCUAUUGGAUAAAGUUCUUACCUUUAUUAUUCCGAUCUAGCUGGGAAUUCAGACCUUGGUGGUGAUCGAAGAGCCGAAGAAGUCACUGGAUAAUCACCCGUGGAUAACUAUAAAUCAUGGAGGAAGAAAUAGCAACUCCGGCAAGGUGAAGAAGACGAAAGACAAUGACCGCUGGUUAAUAAAAGAGAACAGAGAAAGAAACAACGGUUUUUAUAAUGGUGAAAAUAGGUAUGGACACGUGGUUUCUACAUCAGAUCCAACAGCUGGCGUGGGCCCAGUUGCAUGUGCACAGGAGGAUAUUUUAAGUAAUGGGCCAAUUUUGGGGCAAAAGGAAAAAAAUAGAUUUCUGUGGGGUUUUUUCCAAUGAUGGCCCAAUUUUUUUUAAUGAGGCCCAUUUACUGGAACUUUCUCUGUCAAAAGAGGCGCUGCCACCCAAGUUAGACCCUAUGCUAACUGAAGGUGAAGAAAACACCACUGAUGGUGAAUUUUUCGACACUUUUACUGGUGAUUUGAAUGCGACCAUAGAAGAGCAAGGUAACACUAUGGUGGAAAUUAAAAAUUCUGCAAAUGAAGAGGAUUUUGCCAAUGCUAUAACAAUUAUAGAUGAAGGAGAAGACAAUGCUGCCAUCAAUGACCUUUAAUCAAACAUGCAAAUAGCGGAUGGUGUUGAAACAACGCCCUGGAAUAUCGAGGAGGUGGUCACAUUGAAUUACCAUGAUGUAGAAGAGGAUAGUGAUGGAGAGAUGGAUGUACCGAUUUGGGUGCAUCAAAAUAUUAUUAAGUUGAGCAACAAAUUUGGAGUGGCUCUCGAUGGAUGUAGGAAGGAAGCUAUAAGUCUAUUCAUGAAAAUAGAUAGUAAGAGGCAAACUAACAUCAAGGAAACAAAAAGACGAAUGGGAAAACAUCAAAAUCAAGGGGAUGCAGAAGUUAAAGGGGCUUACAAUUGACAUGAAUUUUGAAAGAAAAGGGUUUAGAACCAGGGGGAAAGGAAAAGCAGCAGGUGCACGAUGAAUAGGAGGAUUAUCAAUAGUGUGUUUUAGGAGUGGAAGAAGACAGAUGUCAUAUGUCUGUAAGAAACAAAACUUGUAGGGGAAAAUGGGGAAGCAAUUAAACAAGUGUGGAGUAACAGGGGAGUCAAAUAUGGCCAACUGGAGGCCAGUGGCACUAGGGGGGGGGGGCUCUGAUGUUCUGGGAUUGCAAGAUUUGGGAGGGGGAAGUUCUAGAAAUUGGCUCACACACUUUGACUUGCUACUUUAGAUCAAAAGUUAGUGAUUUUGAAUGGCAUAUGAUAGGGGUCUAUGCACCAACGUGCAAUACGAAAAAACAGGAAGGAUGGUGGGAAAUAGGAGCAGUUAGAAGUCUAUUCACUGGACCUUGGGUUCUAGGUGGGGACUUUAAUGUUGUUAGAUAUGCUUCAGAAAAGAAGAAUUGUUCGAGGACUUCUAUCUAUAUGAAUGAUUUUUCUGAUAUGAUUGAGGAUAUGGAGUUGGUUGACCCCCAACUUGAAUGGGGAGUUUAUACCUGGACUAGAGGAAACAACUUGGAAACUGCUUCUAGAAUAGACAGGAUUCUAUAUUCAACUAAAUGGGGGGAAAAUUCAACAACAUCAAGCAGGAAGUGAUGCCAAGAGUAUGCUCAGAUCACGCACUUACCAGUGACAGUUGGAUCUACACGAAAUCUUAUUUCAAAUUCGAAGGGUGGUGGUUGGAGACGGAAGGAUUCAAUGAUAGAGUGAAGAAGUGGUGGACAUCUUUUAGGGACACCUGCUUAUAUACUAGCCUCAAAGUUAAAAGCUUUGAAGAUCAAACUAAAAGAGUGGAGUUCAACCACUUACGGAAAUCUGGGGAAGAAAAAGAAAGAAUUGCUCAACAAGAUUGCAGAUUUCGACAAUAUUCAACAGAGUAGAUCCUUAGCUGAUGAGGAAGUAAUUCAAAAGGCAAAUCUUGUCAAGGAGUUUGAAGACUAUGUUAAAAAGGAAGAGAUAGCUUGGAGGCAGAGAUCAAGGACGUUGUGGAUUAAAUAGGGAGACAAGAACACUAAGUUCUUCCAAAGGAUUGCAAAUGUGCAUAAGAGAGUUAAUCAUAUCGAUAAACUGGCGGUGAAAGGAUUGGAACUAAUAGAGGCUGCAGACAUCACAAGAGAGAUGGUUCUAUUCUAUACGAACCUGUAUAGUGAAAGUGAAGAUUGGAGACCUACUUUCAACAUGAAUUCAUGUCCAGUAAUCAGUAGAGAGGAGCAACAAGACUUAUAGAAACCUUUUGAUGAAGAAAAAGUUUUGCUGGGACUCAAGGCUUGUGCUAUAGACAAGGCACCAGGUUCAGAUGGUUUCACAAUGGGUUUUUUUGUAAAAUGCUGGGAGAUCUUGAAGGGGGAUGUGAUGGAAACUUUUCAAAAUUUCCACUCUCAGGAAGUCUUUGAAAAGAGUUUUAAUGCAACCUAUAUGCACUCAUCCCAAAGAACAAUGGAGCUAAGGAGCUGAGAGACUUCAGACCUAGUUCGAUAGGAAGUGUACAAACUGAUCUCCAAAUUCCUCACAGAAAGACUGAAAAGGGUGAUGCCAAAGCUAGUGGAUAAUCAACAAAUGACUUUUCUGAGAGAAAGACAAAUUACAGAUGCCGUCCUAAUUGCAAAUGAGUGUGUUUAGACUCUAGGUUGAAAGAUAAGAAUCCAGGAUUAAUGUGUAAAUUGGACAUAGAGAAGGUGUAUGAUCAUGUCAAUCGGGAUUACUUGCUUGGAGUUUUGCGCAGUAUAGGUUUCAGGAUGAAAUGGAUUAGACGGAUGAGAUUUUGCAUCAGCAUUGUCAGAUUCUCAGUAUUGAUAAAUGGCUCUCCAGAAGGUUUCUUUUCAGCAAGUAGAGGUCUUCGACAAGGUGAUCCCCUUUCGUCUUUUUUGUUCUUACUAGUCAUGGAAGGUCUAAACGAUAUGCUUAAAACUGCACACAACAAUGAAUGGAUAAGGAGGUUCAAUGUUGCCAAGGAGGUGGGUGCUAGAGUGGAAGUCACUUAUUUGUAAUAUGCAGAUGAUACCCUGAUUUUCUGUGAAGCUGAAGAUAGCCGACUGAAUUUUUUAAGGAUAAUCUUAAUACCGUUUGAGUCUGGAUUUGGUCUUCACAUCAAUUGGAGGAAGAGUCAUAUCUUCCCAAUCAAUUAAGUUCCCAAGAUACAACAACUUACAACAACUUCCAGACAUUUUGGGUGGGGAAAUUGGACAGCUUCCAGCUCUCUACCUGGGCAUGCCUUUAGGUGCCAAAAGCAAAUCAAAAGAGAUUUGGAAUGGAGUUGUGGAGAGAUGUGAAAAGAGAUUGUCUAGAUGGAAGUCCCAUUAUUUAUCCAGAGGUGGCAUAUUAGUUUUGAUCAACUCAGUCUUAGAUGCUCUCUCUACUUACUUGAUGUUAGUGUACCCCAUUUCGGUCAAAGUGGAAGAAAGAAUUGAUGCUUUGAGGAGAAAUUUUUUGUGGCAUGGUGAGAAGGAAUACAAAGGAUUCCAUUUCUCAAAUGGAAAACCUUACUACGGGCAAAAAAUUAGGGAGGUUUGGCCAUCAGGAAUCUGGGAAAACAUAAUAGGAGCCUUCUCAUGAAAUGGCUAUGAAGGUUCCCAAAAGAAGAACAAACUCUAUGGUAUAAGGUGAUCCAAGCUAAAUAUGGAAAAGAAGGGCCUUGGAAAACAAAGGAAGUCAACUCAACAUACGGGACUAGUAUAUGGAGAUCAAUCAGGAAUUUAUGGCCUGGAUUCUAUGUGAAAACAAAUUUCAGUAUGAACAAUGGCCGGAAGAUUAGGUUUUGGGAAGAUAACUGGUUUGGGAGUGGAAGUCUCAAACUUCUAUUCCCAGNNNNNNNNNNNNNNNUGAACCAACGACAGAUGUCCACAAUUCAGGAAGUCUGGUCUUAACAUGGUUGGAACCUGACCUACAGAAGAUUAAUAGAAGAUUAAUACAGGACUGGGAGAUGGAGAGACUAGCUGAAUUUUAUGGCACACUUGAUCAGUUCAUAGGCCUAAAGGAAAGGGAAGACACUCUUAGAUGGAAAUGCAAUAGCAAAGUUUGUUCACUAUCGGCUCCGCCUAUAAAGAUAUUAGCCAGAUGGGAACCCAAGUUAAUUUUCUACCUUGGAAACUCAUAUGGAAGGUGAAAAUCCCUUACAAAGGGACAGCUUUCACCUAGUUGGUGGUGAAAGAGGUUGUUCUUACACAGGAAAAUCUCAUGAAGAAAGGAAUACAUAUGUGUCCAAGGUGUUUCUUUUGCGAGCAGCAUGCAGAGAGCCAGAGACAACAAAUCAUCUGUUUCCACACUGUAAAGUGGUUGGUCUAGUUGUGGAAUUUGUUUACCAGCUUUAGGGGUAUUUGUUGGACUGUACCUGAGAGAAUAGGACAAGCUCUAGUAAGCUGGAACAUGGAGGGCAGUGGCAGCAUAGAUAGGAACAGAUGGAGAAUUGUCCCAAUAAUAAUAUGGUGGACUAUAUGGAAGGAGAGAAACUCUAGGUGUUUUGAAAAUAAGAGUAGCUCGCUGCACAAUAUCAAAAUGGACUGCAUUAUCACUUUUUGCUAUUGGUGUAGUUCUGAGUAUAUAAAUGACCCUGUGGCUAUCAUAGACAUACUAGUUUUCUUGUAAGAUGAAAUAGGAUCUAGUAAUAGUUUCUUCUUUUCCUUUUCUUUUUGGAUGUCUGAUCAUACAAAUUGGAUGUAGGCUGGGUUGUAAAUUUUUUUAGUCCAGCCUUCGAGCUGAUGAUUAAUAUACAAAUGUUCCCUUUGUCAAAAAGGAGUCGAGUACAUGCUCCUACUUAUAGGAGAUGAAUACAAUGUAGUUGUAGAGUCCUAGACUACUUACAAGAGUCCUAACUAUGCCAAUAUUGAAGACUUAAUAGUUGUAUCACUAGGCACCUACAUAUACAAGUAGAUGCUUACUACUACUAGAAUAUUGGUACAAUUAAAGAUGCAAAGCAUAGGCUAACUCUAACUCUACUAACUCUAACAAAAUCAGCUACUCUAACAGAAUCAGCGAAUGUACACUCUCCUUCUCUUUAAUUUGAUCAUUAUAUUCAACACUUCCCCUCAAGCUAGUGAGUAGUGGAACACUCCCUCCUAGCUUGCUUCUGAAAUCAGCAAACACUUGCUUUGUCAAGGCCUUUGUAUGACUGUCAGCUAGGUGAUCUCUAGACUUGACGAACUGUGUGAGUGAGUAGCUAUCCUUUGGAUACUUUUUCUCGAACAAAAUGGUAGUCCAUUUCUACAUGCUUUGUUCUAGCAUGCAUCACUCGAUUAACUGUCAAGUACAAGGCAUUUAAAUUGUCACAAUACAGUAUAGGCACUGUCUUGGGAUAUACUCCAAUGUCAUGAAGUUUAAGGAUCCAUGUCAUUUCAGCUGUAGUAGAAGCUAAGGCACUAUAUUCAACUUCAGCACUGGACCUUGCCACUGUGGUUUGUUUCUAAGAGGUCCAAGAGAUACAAUUUGCACCUAAGUAGAUGCUGUAACCUGUAGUUGACCUCCUAGUUGUAGUGCAGCCUCCCCAAUCAACAUUCGAAUAGCCAUAUAACCUGCAGGGUGAUUGUGAGAUAAUUCUGAGCCCAUGAUGUAAAGUUCCUCUGAUGUACCUGAGGAUCCUUUUAAUACCUUGGAGAUGUUCACUAUUUGGACUCUGCAUGAAUUGACUAGCUAGAUUUACUGCAUGAGUGAUGUCAGGCCUUGUGAGUGUCAAAUACUGAAGACUUCCCACUAUCCUUCCAUAAUAGGGCUUCCAACAGCUUCAUGUAAGCCAUGUUUCUGUGCAAGAGGUGUAUUCAUUGCUUUUGCCCGAGUCAUAUUAGGCAACUCAGUAGUAUAGUAGCAUACUUCCCUCAAUUCUAGUGCAGUCCAGUCCACCUGGGAAGUACUUAACCUCAAUUCCUAGAAAGAAAUGUAAAGGACCAAGAUCUUUCAUAGAGAAUUCUCUCCCAAGUUUAGCAGCAACCACCUCUGAGACAUGCUUUUGAUCACUUCCUGUGAUUAUUAUAUCACCCACAUAUAGUAAUAAUAAGAUAGUCCCUCUGUUACCAUGCAAAGUAAACGAAGAGGGAUCUGCUUUACUACAAGUGAAACCAAGGUGAAGCUAAUACAGACUGAAUCUGUCAAAUCUUGCUCUAGGUGCCUGUUUAAGACCAUACGAUGCCUUCUUUAACAAACAAACAUGAGUUGGAUACAGAUACCUGGGUUAAAUGAAUCCUGGAGGUUGACUCAUGUAUACUUCUUCAUGUAAGUGGCCAUGUAGAAAUGUGUUUUUGACAUCAAGUUGUCUGAUAUGCCAUUUUGAAGCACCAACUACUGACAGAACGACUCUAAUGGUUGUAGCCUUAACCAUAGGACUGAAUGUUUCUUCAAAGUCCAUUCCUUCAAUUCGAGAGAAACCCCUAGCAACAAGCGUUGCUUUGUACAUGUCAACUGCUCCAUUUGCAUGUAGUUUAGUCUUAAACACCCAUUUGGAGCCAACCAAGUUGAUACUUGCAUGUUUAGGUACUAGUAUCCAGGUCUUGUUAUUGUGUAGAGCAUUUAUCUCAUCCUGCUUAGUUGCAAACCCACGUGGUGUCUUCAGUGCUUCAUUUGUUGAUUUUGGUUCCCUUAUGAUCUAUUCUUUACUUGCAACAAGAGAUAGGUAAGGUAAAGCAGCUGAUGUUGCCUUUAUUUGGUGAUCGUGUGAUGUCUUUGUGGUUCUAGUGUAUCUGAGUUGCACUAUCUUCUAUAGGUGUUGCACUUGCACUAUCAUCUUGUGGAUUAGACACUGAGAGUAAUGCAGGUUGUGGCAUGCUAGGUGGCUCAGAAGCAUCUUCUAUUGCUUCAACAUUUGAGAUGUCAAGCAUUUCAGAAGGCUCAUUUGCAGAUAUGGAACUAGGAUCUCUGUCAUCAUCAACAAAAGUGGUUAGAACAGGAUUAUCUGGUGUUGUUUGGUUAUCAAGAGUUGGCAACACAGGCUCAACAAGUGUUGGUUGAUCAACUACAUGAGUAGCUUGAUCCUCAACAAUUGGUUGAGUAGCUUGAUUCACCACAGCUGGCAACAAUUCCCCUGGAGUGACUUUAUUAGAAUCAUGUGCCUGCAAGUUAGUAAAAAACUCAACAAAAGUAGCUAGGUGAGGUGAGACAUCAGCUUUAGCUUGAGACUGUAUUGGUUGUACAUAAGGUAACAUACACUCAUAAAAAAUGACAUGCCUUGACAUAUAGACUCUCCUUGUUGGAGGAGGAUAGCGUCUAUAUCCUUUAUGUAGACUGCUGUAUCCUAUAAAAACACAUGGAUAAGACUUUAGGCUAAACUUGGUAUCACCCUUAAUGUGCGAAAAACAUAUACAUCCAAACACCUUCCAGCUGUUAUGGUCAGGUUGUGCACCAUAUAACUUGACAAAAGGAGUUGCCUUUUUUAGUACCGAGGAAGACAAUCUAUUAAUGAGGAACUCAACAGUUAAGAAGGCCUCUACCAAUAGAAAUAGAGGUAGGUUAGCAUGAAGUAGCAUAGUAAGUCCAGUCUUAACUAUGUGCCUGUGUUUUCUUUUAGAAAUUCCAUUCUGUUCAGGUGUAUUAGGACAAGAGAUGUGUCUGACAAUACCACAACUUUCUAGAUGCUUAAUGAAUUCUGUUAUGAUGAACUCACCACCUCCAUCACAUUGAAAAAUCUUAAUAACUUUAGAGAGCGGCCUUUCUACCAUUUUUUGGAACUUGAGAAAUACAUCAGCAAAUUCAGAUUUCUUUUUUAAUGGAUAAAGCCAUCUGUAUCUUGUGUUAUCAUCUACAAACACUACAUAAUAUCUCAUGUGUUGAGUAGAUUCAACAGGUGCAGGACCCCAAAUAUUACAAUGAAUUUUCAAUAACGAUUCCUUCUCGAUUUUAUUCCACAAGCCAAAGGCUAGUUUACAACCUUUUCCUAACUGACAACUAGAGCAGACAGUAUGGAUUCUAUUCCAACUACUAACAUUAAUGCAACUAUUACUACUCAAAAUUCUUUAAAAUCUUCAAACUAGGAUGUCCUAAUCUAUUAUGCCAAAUAUUGUUUGAGGUUUUUCAGUCUUGUAUGGCAAUCAAUGCAUAGAGAUUGUUAUCUUUCAAGGCAUAAAGUCCAUCUCUUUUAGAUCCCUUGACCAGUAGCGUCUUUGUCUUAUUGUCUUGUACAACAAAAUCAGUUUCAUCAAAUUCAAGAGUGCAGGAAUUAUCUUUUGCAAUUUUACUAACUGAGAGCAGAUUUUUAGCAAUCUUAGGUACUACAAGAACUUUUUGUAAUUUCAUCCCUGAUCUGACUGCAUUGCCAACAUGUGUAAUAUCUAAUUGAGAUCCAUUUCCAACAAUGAUCUUAUCAGAACCUUUAUAAUGUUUAAGAUCAGAUAGAGUACUUGAGUUGUUUGUCAUGUGACUCUGGUAGCACCUGAGUCCACAUACAAAGUAUCAUCACCACUUGAUGAAUUUGCAAAUUCACAGUAGCAAGUGCUUGUGCAAGUUCAUCUGCAGCCUGUAAGAAUAGUGCGGCCGGGUAAGAAUAGUCCCACCUGCAAACACUUAAGAGCAGUGUGGUUAUUCCUACCACAAAUUUGACAUGACUCAGUUGCAUUCUUCUCCUUAUUCUGAUUUCCAUUUUGAUUUCCACCAGUCUAAUUAUAUGGUGCAGCAGGUCUAAAACCCCUUCCUCUGGAGUUAAAGUUGUUAUUUCCUUUUCCUCGGGAAAAAUUUCCUCUUCCUCUGCCUCUUUGACUUGAGGCAACAUAGAAUGCCAUGUUGGAGUUUGGUUGUGGCACCUUUUCUUCAUCCUCCCUCAUGUCAAAACCCCUUAGUGCAUUAAUAAACUGAUUUAGUGUAGGAUAGGGUGCCUUACCUAACAUGACAGUCCUGAAUGUCUUGUAUUUGAGACCUAAGCCUCUAACAAAGUCGAUAACGUUACUGUCCUCAUCAACAAGCUUGUGUAUAGCUGCAUGUCCAUCACAUAUGUCUUUGAUGCCUUUGAACUCUGAUGUAUUCAUCUACCUUCUUAUUUCCCGGCCUAACACACUGCAAUUGUUGUUUGAGGUGAAAUUCUUUGUCCUUUGUUGCCUGAAGAUAGGCUUCUUACCUGAGAUCCAACUCCUCAGCAGUACAUCUUUCUCUUCCUAGUCAUCAAUGUUUUUACCAUCUUCUUCAUCUUUCUCAGUACUUGUGACCACAGCUUUCUCAGCAGCCUUUCCAGUAGUUGGCUCAUUCACAGUUGGUUCCUUCUCCUUGAUGAGAUAAGUUAAUCUCAUGACUUGGAUCAACUGCAUUAUUUGUGUCCUCCAUAUGAGAUAAUUUGUUGGUUUAAGUUUAAUAGAACAGGAAGCAAUGAGGGUGAAGAGAAGAAGUGGAAAGAGAAUUGGCAGAGGAUGUAGAAUGAGCCAUCUCAGGGUUUGAGAUGUUCAGUUCUUGGUUUUAAUAUUUAAUCAGCGGAAAGAGCUUAAUUCUCUGAUACCAUGUAGAAUUCUCAAGCACACUGAACAGAAUCAAAGUAUAGUUCUUAUUAUUAAGGAGUUGAGUAGAUGCUCCUGCUCAUAGGAGUUGAAUACAAUGUAGUUGUAGAGUCAUAGACUACUUACAAAAGUCCUAGCUAUGCCAA
rnacentral:lncRNA from 1 species